GACAAUUUGCGUUGACGAUGCGAAUCCUCGGCGUAAGUUCAACGGACGGUGGCAGGCUGCGUGCGGAGCACGCGGGCUAGACCACUACGGAUAUGCAUCCAAAUAAUUUGUACUGUAACUAUGGCAGAUUAAGAAGAAAACUGAAUAAUCAUUUAAUCUCAAAAACUAAUCUAAGUUUUGAUGUAGACUGUCACAAAAAUAUACGAAUUCUUUACUGAUUUAUGAAAAUAAAGAACAGCUCAUGGUUUGAUUUUAUCAUUUUUUGUAACCCCAAUCAACUUUUAUCAAAGCUGUCCCAAGUAAUAUAGCAAAAAUAUUUUUUCUGAUCGUGUAAAAUAAUUUGUAAAAUAAUUUGCCUGGAGUAAAUGAUAUUAGUGGAUGGGGGACUAAGUAGCAGGGUGUCGGCACGCAGGCGCGGUGAGGCUUCUGCGCUCCUGCCCGCGGCCGUCAGCUCGACGACGCCACGGGCGCGGGCGGACGCCGGACGCUCUACCGGUUCACAUACACACACGUCUCGAUUCUCUUCUCGAAUACAAAUCGAUACGUAUUCGAUUAAUAAAGCCGAAUAACGUGCCAAACCGAUAUUCUACACAAAACGCAACGAUUAACCAGUUUUUCCAACGUUUGUAUACAGCCGCGCUAAUUACAACGUGAAAAUGUAUUUUGUGAUUGGUGUUAGUGAAUGGUUAGUGUGUAUUCGUGUAGUAGGAAAUUAAUUGGUGACGAUGUGUACAUAACACAGGUGUUCCGUGUGUGAGUGACAUUGAGUAGCAUACAGGAUGAGAGGGGCGAAAGCGAUAUUCCUUAUUCUAUUCUUCGGCCAUCUGUCAGCCUUGCCUGAUACUAUCCGAAUAGGUGGUCUAUUCCAUCCGGAGGAUGACAAGCAAGAGGUAGCGUUUCGGUACGCGGUGGAGCGCGUGAACGCCGACCGGGCGGUACU